UACGGAGGGAGCUAGCGUUGUUCGGAAUUAUUGGGCGUAAAGCGCGCGUAGGCGGCUUUGUAAGUUAGAGGUGAAAGCCUGGAGCUCAACUUCAGAAUUGCCUUUAAGACUGCAUCGCUUGAAUCCGGGAGAGGUGAGUGGAAUUCCGAGUGUAGAGGUGAAAUUCGUAGAUAUUCGGAAGAACACCAGUGGCGAAGGCGGCUCACUGGACCGGCAUUGACGCUGAGGUGCGAAAGCGUGGGGAGCAAACAGG
rnacentral:rRNA from 1 species